ensembl:lncRNA novel transcript
UUUGAACCUGAAUCUCAAGGAUCUUCUUAUGCUAAGCCUGAGACCAGACCAAGAGGAUACAUGGCACAGUGCUUUUGACCAUCUUGACCAGAACCACAAAACCCAGGAAAUUUCUCAGAAAUGGAUGUUCUCUACUGAUUUCCAAACCUUAGGUAUGUCUUCUUAGCCUAUCAGAGCUGCUGAGACUGCAUUCUGGGUCUUUUAUCUCAGCUGGAUUAUUCACACCUGUAAGUGUAAAGUACUGGCAGUCAACUUAUAACCAUAAAGUCAACUUCAUCUGAGAUUUGACCAAUACCUCUCUACAACAAGUAAAAGGCAGAGCCAAGAGUUACAGAGAAAAAGCAGGUCCCGAUGAUAUAAUUUACCAUGGUUAAGCUUUGACCAAAGCUAGACUUAUUCCUGAACAUAUUGGUUAGCUGAGGCAAUAAAUUUUAUUUUUGU